AUGCUUCCAGAAGUGCUGUUUCAACAUCAAGUCCAAGUCUUUCUGCUCGGGAAACUGAUGAGGCUGAACAGGACAGCAGCUGCAGCUGCGUGGAGGAAGUGCUGGACCAGCUGCCAGAGCCUUUCUCUACCACCAUUCCCACUCCCCGCUAUUUCCUAUAUUGUUAAAAGGAAGUUUGAGACCAUGGAAAAGCUCAAAGCAAUACUGGUGCUAAUGCUGCCAGGAUUCUGAGCUUUACACCAAAUUCAUUCUGGUUAACAGUCUUCUGUUCCUCCCCAAAUUAUGAAGGAACCAUUAACUUGUUGAUAUAAACUCUGAGUCAUUUUUUGAGGUUGAAAAUAUGCUAAAGCAUGAUUACAUAUAGUUGGGUCAGGUGAAGAGGCUGUGGCCCUGGAUUAGUUUCCCUCUGUUGAAGCUUUGUUGUGCUUUUGCUCAUUGGCUUUGUGCCACUGAGGGUUUAAACAACAGAUCUGCCUGAUCAGGAGCUUGUAGUUAGUGAACCUCAUACCUAAGAGGAAACAUCUUUCUUUCUUCCAGCCAUGGCAAGCCCUGUGGACCUGUACGUCACAUAGGCACCAGAUUUAAAUCUGAUGAAAUUGUGGCAGUUCAUUCAUCUCCCAUAGCUCUUAGCGCUUUUUCUGGUCAUAGUUCACAAAGUAGGGGCUGUGAAUUCCCUGACUUGCCUGACUGAGGUUCUUUGCCCUUAUUUUUCUUAUAGCUACAAGAUAUAAAAAAAGAAAAGAGAUGAUAGGGUCAUAGGUGCAGGUGCGAAAGUAGUUGCAAAGAGACAGAACAGCACAUUCUUCUGUCAUCUGAAUUUUAGUAGGAUAGGCAUGGAGCUAUCUUAGAGAUUGGUUAAUGGGACUGUUUUUCAGUAUCAAAGUCACAACUCACGUCUUUUAAGCAAUAAAGCACUUCUUUAUAGGCAGUAAUGAUGAUGACCGUAGGUCAGAAGACAUUAUGGCUAAAAAUAACCUUGCUUUCACUUGCUUUUAUUCCAAUUGCUUGAGUGGCAAAGAAAGGAAUAGAGUAAUACAGUUACAGUUAGUAUGAGGGGAGCUUCAUACGUCAUUACUCGGCUACCACCCUUAUGUGACUGGUACAGAGCACUACUUGAGAUGCCCUUCAUGCUUUCCCUGUCCUCCGAAAGAAAUCUGCUUAUUAUGUAACACGGAUUCUGUGUUACUUCCUUUGUAAAGCCUGACCUCUGUACUGAUAGACCUCCUCCGCCAGUCCAGCAGGACUUUGCAUCUUUAUUCAGUUCUUUACUUCAUGUGGAGCUGGCAAUAUGACAUUUAUUGCAUUAAGUUUCCAUUAGUUAUAUACACAUUUCUCCAUUUUAGUAUGUGAUCAACUAGGCCAGUUAAGCCAUCUUAUUUCAUAAUUAACUCAUACACCAAACUAAUAAUAGGAUCUGUUAUAUGCCAAAAUAUUGCCUGAAUAUUGAGAUAAUACUGGGCUAUAUGAAUAUAGAAUUUUUAUUAUAGUAGAGAAGACAAAAUACCUAGAUGAAUAAGAGAACUACAUAUUUAAAUGGUUAUUAUAAAGUAAAUAACUACAAGACAAGAGAUUCAAUACCAAAGAAAGCCAUAAAAAGUUAGGAUGUUAGGAAGAGCCUCCAAGAGGUUCCUGGUUGACCAUACCAGGAUUUCUAGAACGAAUGGGUUUUACAAUGAGACAAUAAUUAUUGGGAAGAAUAGAACAGGCAGAGAUCAUAACAUUAAGGUAGGUAGAAUGGCAGAGUAGAUGGUAUCAGCACAUAACUAGUGUUAGCGAUCAUAGGUCUCAUUUCUGUGCAGUGUCUUCUGAGGUUGAUUUUAAGUUAUAUCACUUAGAAUAUCUGAUAGAUUGUACAUGAAUUCAUUCUUCUGCUACUUCAUUUACUAAUAUAGAAUUCUAUUACCUUGUAUAAAAUUUUAUAAAGUUAAAUUUUUAAGGGCUGGGGAUUUAGCUCAGCAACAAAGCGCCUGCCUGGCAAGCGCAAGGUUGUGAGUUCAGUUCCCGGUACCGGAGAAAAGCCAAAAACAAAACAAAACAAUAAAGUUAAAUUUUUAAAAGUUUGUAUUAUUAUUUCCUUAAUAUUAAAGACUACCACAAAAAAAGACACAAAAUGAAACAUUUGGCCUUUGAGUACUAUUAUUCUUGAAUACUAGGAAGAUUCUAAUAGCCCAUAGGAUGUCAAUUCUGAAUUUGAAAGUGAUUAAUGUUUGCUUGACAUUCUAAAUAUUUUUCUUUCCUUGGGUCAGCUAAGCCAGAGGUAAACAUCUGGUCCAGUAUGGACCAAUCACAGUGUAUUUCUCCAAGGAAUUUGGGAUAAAAUGCAGGGGAGAUAAGUCCCUUUGAAAUGGCCGUGGGGGAGCUUAAACUGAAGGGUUCAGUGGAGCAGGGCCAGAGUCAUCACAUACCAUAGCAGCAAGCUUGUUGAUAUUUUGGGAGCAGCAGAGAAAUCAUAUAAAGCAGAAAAGCACUAAUUUUUGGAAAGAAGAAAGAAAAUAGAAAACAUACACAGGGAAACAAUACAUUUGACUUAAAAAUAAUAUAUAUGUUAUAAUUAAACAAAUUCAGAUUUUUCUAUGUUUGAGACUUUUUACAAAUCAGUACUUUUGAAUGUGAUUAGUGAUCCUACCAAGUUUAUCAUUAUAUAUAUAUAUAUUAUAUAUAUUCUGUUUCCCUGGAGAUUUAGGUUGAUUUUGAAUGAACAAUAAAAAUGGAAAAAGC
rnacentral:lncRNA from 1 species